UACGAAGGGAGCUAGCGUUGUUCGGAAUCACUGGGCGUAAAGCGCACGUAGGCGGAUUGUUUAGUCGGGGGUGAAAUCCCGGGGCUCAACCCCGGAACUGCCUCCGAUACUGGCAAUCUGGAGUCCGGAAGAGGUGGGUGGAAUUCCUAGUGUAGAGGUGAAAUUCUUAGAUAUUAGGAAGAACACCGGUGGCGAAGGCGGCCCACUGGUCCGGUACUGACGCUGAGGUGCGAAAGCGUGGGGAGCAAACAGGAUUAGAUACCCGCGUA
rnacentral:rRNA from 1 species